rnacentral:rRNA from 1 species
UACGUAGGCGGCAAGCGUUAUCCGGAAUUAUUGGGCGUAAAGAGGGAGCAGGCGGCAGCAAAGGUCUGUGGUGAAAGACUGAAGCUUAACUUCAGUAAGCCAUAGAAACCGGGCAGCUAGAGUGCAGGAGAGGAUCGUGGAAUUCCAUGUGUAGCGGUGAAAUGCGUAGAUAUAUGGAGGAACACCAGUGGCGAAGGCGACGAUCUGGCCUGCAACUGACGCUCAGUCCCGAAAGCGUGGGGAGCAAAUAGG